rnacentral:antisense_RNA from 1 species
UGGCGCUUGAGGCUUUUUGCCUCAUGAUGUUCGGGUGGUUUGUUAUCGUGUUGUGAGGCAGAAAGAAGAAAGCCCCGUAGGAAGUUAAUUUACAUUAACCAACCACACGAGGCUUAAUCUACAUGCUAGACACAUCUAGAUUAGCCGCUUACUGCGCUUUGCGCAAGGAGAAGAAGGCUAUG